CACAACUGCAAGAAAGCCCAAAAGUCUGAAUCUUUGCCCUUGUUCUCUAACUAUUAUGUCAAACUCGUCAUCUUUUUCUUGCCUCUGUCUUCUGAAGUUUUGAUCUGCCUUUCCAUAACCCCCAUAUGAAGGAAAGGAGUUGUAGUUCAUGCUGGCACAGUCCCCAACACCAAAAGAAAUGCCACCGCUGAUUUUUUUUCUUUCUUUUUU
rnacentral:ribozyme from 14 species